GAUGAACGCUAGCUACAGGCUUAACACAUGCAAGUCGCAGGGUAACAUGAGGAAAGCUUGCUUUCCUUGAUGCCGACUGGCGCACGGGUGAGUAACGCGUAUCCAACCUUCCCAUAACUACGGGAUAACCCGUUGAAAGACGGCCUAAUACCGUAUGAUAUCGUUUGCUGACAUCAAAUAACGAUUAAAGGUUUAGCGGUUAUGGAUGGGGAUGCGUCUGAUUAGCUUGUUGGCGGGGUAACGGCCCACCAAGGCGACGAUCAGUAGGGGUUCUGAGAGGAAGGUCCCCCACAUGGGAACUGAGACACGGUCCAAACUCCUACGGGAGGCAGCAGUGAGGAAUAUUGGUCAAUGGGCGAGAGCCUGAACCAGCCAAGUAGCGUGCAGGACGACGGCCCUAUGGGUUGUAAACUGCUUUUAUGUGGGGAUAAAGUGCGUGACGUGUCAUGCAUUGCAGGUACCACAUGAAUAAGGACCGGCUAAUUCCGUG
rnacentral:rRNA from 1 species